CGAGAAGCAGAGAAUCGGCAUGGCCCGCAUGUUCUACCACAGGCCCAAGUACGCCCUCCUGGAUGAAUGCACCAGUGCCGUGAGCAUCGACGUGGAAGGCAAGAUCUUCCAGGCGGCCAAGGACGCAGGCAUUGCCCUGCUCUCCAUCACCCACCGGCCCUCCCUGUGGUAGGUGCCCUGUCUCCCUGCCUGGGGUCAGUGGGAGUGG
rnacentral:lncRNA from 1 species